UACGUAGGGAGCGAGCGUUGUCCGGAAUUACUGGGUGUAAAGGGAGCGUAGGCGGGGAUGCAAGUUGGGUGUCAAAACUACCGGCUCAGCUGGUAGUCGCACUCAAAACUGCAGCUCUUGAGUGAAGUAGAGGCAGGCGGAAUUCCUAGUGUAGCGGUGAAAUGCGUAGAUAUUAGGAGGAACACCAGUGGCGAAGGCGGCCUGCUGGGCUUUUACUGACGCUGAGGCUCGAAAGUGUGGGGAGCAAACAGG
rnacentral:rRNA from 1 species